GUGCUGCAGCCGCUGCCGCCGAUUCCGGAUCUCAUUGCCACGCGCCCCCGACGACCGCCCGACGUGCAUUCCCGAUUCCUUUUGGUUCCAAGUCCAAUAUGGCAACUCUAAAGGAUCAGCUGAUUUAUAAUCUUCUAAAGGAAGAACAGACCCCCCAGAAUAAGAUUACAGUUGUUGGGGUUGGUGCUGUUGGCAUGGCCUGUGCCAUCAGUAUCUUAAUGAAGUGGAUAUCUUGACCUACGUGGCUUGGAAGAUAAGUGGUUUUCCCAAAAACCGUGUUAUUGGAAGCGGUUGCAAUCUGGAUUCAGCCCGAUUCCGUUACCUAAUGGGGGAAAGGCUGGGAGUUCACCCAUUAAGCUGUCAUGGGUGGGUCCUUGGGGAACAUGGAGAUUCCAGUGUGCCUGUAUGGAGUGGAAUGAAUGUUGCUGGUGUCUCUCUGAAGACUCUGCACCCAGAUUUAGGGACUGAUAAAGAUAAGGAACAGUGGAAAGAGGUUCACAAGCAGGUGGUUGAGAG
rnacentral:lncRNA from 1 species